AUGAAUUCGAUACUCGAAAGGUUCAGUUGGUUUCUUUGAUCGUGAUUUAGUUGUGAUAAUAUGAAAUCUUCGUAAAUAAUUGUGAAUUAAUUAAUUGAUUUUUUCUUUUGCCAACGAUUAAAUUAUUUUUCCAUUGAAAAUAAUGGCCACAGUUCUUCAUGUUGAUCUCCAUUGUUUUUUUAAUUAUUUUAAUUAUUUGUUAUUCUUACUAUGUUAAAGCUUAUCGAUCAAAUCAAUUUAAUUUGUUCACUUCGAAAAUUGUUCCUGAUCUCAAUCAACUUGGAUUCUUAUGCAUAUUGUUAAAAUAAGCAAAUCACGGUCAGAGGCUUCAUCUUAAUUUCCCUAGAACUUUUUGGAUCUAAUUGUACAACUCAUGAAUUUGGUUCGAAGUCAAUUUGCAUUACUAGAUUUUUACGUUGACAAAAAACUGAAAGAACUGGAAAAUAAGUCAAAAACUGAAGGAUUUGGGGACGAGAAUGAUGGUAACCACAAUUAACAUAUUAUGGCUGAGAAGUUCCCAAUCGAUUCGGAAUUAGGUAUAAAUACUAUCCAGUUGCCCGAUGAAUGUCAGUCCAAAAGGUUGAAAUCGUUGGUGCGACGAUGUUUGGCCUAUGGAUGCAUAGGACUUUCGAUAUCUAUUUAUUUGUUAUUUCUGUUCAUCAUUGUAUCGCUAUUUUAUUCAGCACUACAACCGACGUAGAAAUUGGUUCGAAGUCAAUUCCACAAUUUACUUAAAUGAAAAAUUCUUAUUUAUUGUCACUCGAAGGCACAAAAGAAACUCAAGCAAGAGAUCCAACAAUUAAUUUAUUCAUAUUGUAAUUUUCAUUGAUUAGAUUUAUUUUACUAUAAAUGUUAAAUUAUGAUAAAUUUUACUUUACCGAAAUUGUUAUUGCACAGAAAUGAGUUUAAUUGUGUUACCGAUUGAUUGUCUUCAUUACUUGUCAUCCUGAUCUAAUUUAAUAAAACAAACUGAUGAAUUAUUAUCCACAA